rnacentral:ncRNA from 1 species
CUGUUCGCCGAUUAAAGUGGCACGCGAGCUGGGUUCAAAACGUCGUGAGACAGUUUGGUCCCUAUCCGCCGUGGGCGCAGGAUACUUGAGGGGUGCUUUCUCUAGUACGAGAGGACCGAGAAGGACGCACCGCUAGUGUUCCGGUUGUCACGCCAGUGGCAUGGCCGGGUAGCUAUGUGCGGAUGGGAUAACCGCUGAAAGCAUAUAAGCGGGAAGCCCACCCCAAGAUGAGGUAUCCCGGGACGCGAGUCCCCUAAAGGCCCCUCGUAGACUACGAGGUUGAUAGGCCGGAUGUGGAAGGCCAGUAAUGGCUGAAGCUUACCGGUACUAAUUGGCCGUGAGGCUUGACCAU